AAGCCAAAGAUAAUUUAAUUUCGUUUUAAUGUAUUUUAAUAUUUGUAUUGUGUGUUUUUAAUUUUGGCUGUUCACCGCCCCGAGUCCUUCAGGAGAGGGGGCGGUAUAAAAAUUUAAUAAAUAAAUAAAUAAAUAAAAUAAAAUAUCAUUCAUGGACUAGCAAUAUAUAUUAACGUUUCAUCUAGAUUAGUAAAACAGAAUAAAAUAUAAAUGUUAAAAAGCUCUAUCUUCAAAUACCGAUGUCUAGCCAUCUAAUCAUUGACGCUCAGCAUCAUUUAUAUGAAAACAAUCAGAUACUGGCCUGGUACAUGCCCUCAGUUUACAGCUGGUCAUGAUGCAAUCUACAGUUUGAUGUGGGACUCACAGUCAGACUGAGGGGAGGAUACUAUGCCCCAGUUAUAUAGAGAGUCAUAUGAGGUGUGAAUUCUAUUCAGGAUUAUCCAUUGCUAAUGGUUUAGUUCAAGGCCUGGCACCUAUUUUAUGGGGUCAUUUAUAUGUCUGCUUAUGUCUGGGCAUUCAGCGACCCAUUUGGCUUUCCAUUGGGAAUCAAUGUUAAGGUUGUUGUGCAGGUGCCAAUGGGGGCUUCCUGGAUUUCAGACUUCCUGCUGAUAAGUGAGGAAAAUCGGUGUGCACCGGUAGGGAAGAAACCCCACAAUGUUUACAAGCAAUAGUUCAAUUGCGACCACAAUUGGGAAUAGCAAUUCAAGUCUAAAUAUACCAGUCACUAAGUGAAACUAGCUGCCCACAUCAUAUUGUAACUCCAAGUAUUUGGGAGACCACCAAAACAUGCCAGGAUUGUACACUCGACUGAGAAACUGAAAACGCAUUCUGGACAUCAAACCACCUCUGCAUUGCUGCCAUGAAAAUUACAUGGAUCUGUCCAUAUCACCAAGCUUCAUGAAGGUUUUAUCUUUUACAUACAGGACAGAAAUAUCAGCAAUUUCUCUGCUGUUGAAUAAAUGUGCCAUCAAUCCUU